rnacentral:rRNA from 1 species
AGUGAACGCUGGCGGCGUGCCUAACACAUGCAAGUCGAACGGCAGCACGGGGGCAACCCUGGUGGCGAGUGGCGAACGGGUGAGUAAUACAUCGGAACAUGCCCAGUCGUGGGGGAUAACGUAGCGAAAGUUACGCUAAUACCGCAUACGAUCCAAGGAUGAAAGCGGGGGACCGCAAGGCCUCGCGCGAUUGGAGUGGCCGAUGUCAGAUUAGGUAGUUGGUGGGGUAAAGGCUCACCAAGCCGACGAUCUGUAGCUGGUCUGAGAGGACGACCAGCCACACUGGAACUGGGACACGGUCCAGACUCCUACGGGAGGCAGCAGUGGGGAAUUUUGGACAAUGGGCGCAAGCCUGAUCCAGCCAUUCCGCGUGCAGGAUGAAGGCCUUCGGGUUGUAAACUGCUUUUGUACGGAACGAAACGGCCUGCUCUAAUACAGCGGGCUAAUGACGGUACCGUAAGAAUAAGCACCGGCUAACUACGUGCCAGCAGCCGCCGUAACAC